rnacentral:rRNA from 1 species
GAUGAACGCUGGCGGCGUGCUUAACACAUGCAAGUCGAACGGAAAGGCCUCUGCUUGCAGGGGUACUUGAGUGGCGAACGGGUGAGUAACACGUGGGUGAUCUGCCCUGCACUUCGGGAUAAGCCUGGGAAACUGGGUCUAAUACCGGAUAGGACAAUGUUUUGGAUGCUGUUGUGGAAAGUUUUUCGGUGUGGGAUGGUCUCGCGGCCUAUAAGCUUGUUGGUGGGGUAAUGGCCUACCAAGGCGUCGACGGGUAGCCGGCCUGAGAGGGUGUACGGACACAUUGGAAGUGAGAGAAGGCCCAGACACGGAAGGGGGGCAGAAGAGGGGAAUAUAGAACAAAGGGAGAAAGCGUGAUGGAGGGAAGACGCGUGGGGGAUGACGGCCUUCGGGUUGUAAAAACAUUAAGAUAGGGACGAAGAGAGUUUGUGACGGUACCUGGAGAAGAAGCACCGGCUAACUACGUG